UUCCGGAAUUAUUGGGCGUAAAGAGCUCGUAGGCGGUUUGUCGCGUCUGUCGUGAAAGUCCGGGGCUUAACCCCGGAUCUGCGGUGGGUACGGGCAGACUAGAGUGCAGUAGGGGAGACUGGAAUUCCUGGUGUAGCGGUGGAAUGCGCAGAUAUCAGGAGGAACACCGAUGGCGAAGGCAGGUCUCUGGGCUGUAACUGACGCUGAGGAGCGAAAGCAUGGGGAGCGAACAGGAUUAGAUACCCUGGUAGUCCAUGCCGUAAACGUUGGGCACUAGGUGUGGGGACCAUUCCACGGUUUCCGCGCCGCAGCUAACGCAUUAAGUGCCCCGCCUGGGGAGUACGGCCGCAAGGCUAAAACUCAAAGGAAUUGACGGGGGCCCGCACAAGCGGCGGAGCAUGCGGAUUAAUUCGAUGCAACGCGAAGAACCUUACCAAGGCUUGACAUGUUCUCGAUCGCCGUAGAGAUACGGUUUCCCCUUUGGGGCGGGUUCACAGGUGGUGCAUGGUUGUCGUCAGCUCGUGUCGUGAGAUGUUGGGUUAAGUCCCGCAACGAGCGCAACCCUCGUUCCAUGUUGCCAGCACGUAAUGGUGGGGACUCAUGGGAGACUGCCGGGGUCAACUCGGAGGAAGGUGAGGACGACGUCAAAUCAUCAUGCCCCUUAUGUCUUGGGCUUCACGCAUGCUACAAUGGCCGGUACAAUGGGUUGCGAUACUGUGAGGUGGAGCUAAUCCCAAAAAGCCGGUCUCAGUUCGGAUUGGGGUCUGCAACUCGACCCCAUGAAGUCGGAGUCGCUAGUAAUCGCAGAUCAGCAACGCUGCGGUGAAUACGU
rnacentral:rRNA from 1 species